UACGGAGGAUGCAAGCGUUAUCCGGAAUGAUUGGGCGUAAAGGGUCCGCAGGUGGCAGUGUAAGUCUGCUGUCAAAGAAUGAGGCUUAACCUCAUCAAGGCAGUGGAAACUACACAGCUAGAGUACGGUCGGGGUAGAAGGAAUUCCUGGUGUAGCGGUGAAAUGCGUAGAGAUCGGGAAGAACACCGGUGGCGAAAGCGUUCUGCUAGACCUGUACUGACACUGAGGGACGAAAGCUAGGGGAGCGAAUGGG
rnacentral:rRNA from 1 species